rnacentral:rRNA from 1 species
AUUGAACGCUGGCGGCAUGCCUUACACAUGCAAGUCGAACGGCAGCACGGGGGCAACCCUGGUGGCGAGUGGCGAACGGGUGAGUAAUGCAUCGGAACGUGCCCAGUAGUGGGGGAUAACCAGUCGAAAGACUGGCUAAUACCGCAUACGACCCAAGGGUGAAAGCGGGGGACCGUAAGGCCUCGCGCUAUUGGAGCGGCCGAUGUCUGAUUAGCUAGUUGGCGGGGUAAGAGCCCACCAAGGCGACGAUCAGUAGCUGGUCUGAGAGGACGACCAGCCACACUGGGACUGAGACACGGCCCAGACUCCUACGGGAGGCAGCAGUGGGGAAUUUUGGACAAUGGGCGCAAGCCUGAUCCAGCCAUGCCGCGUGCGGGAAGAAGGCCUUCGGGUUGUAAACCGCUUUUGGCAGGAACGAAACGGCGCAGGCCAAUACCUUGCGCUAAUGACGGUACCUGCAGAAUAAGCACCGGCUAACUACGUGCCAGCCGCCGCAGUAA